rnacentral:rRNA from 1 species
GACGAACGCUGGCGGCGUGCCUAAUACAUGCAAGUAGGACGCAGUUGCGAACGGGUGAGUAACGCGUAGGUAACUACCUAUUAGAGGGGGAUAACUAUUGGAAACGAUAGCUAAUACCGCAUACUAGUAGAUGGAUCUGCGUUGUAUUAGCUAGUAGGUAGGGUAAUGGCCUACCUAGGCAACGAUACAUAGCCGAACUGGGGGGGUGAUGGGGCAAAAUGGGAAUGGGGCACGGGCCAGACUCAUUCGGGAGGCAGCAGUAGGGAAUAGUCGGCAAUGGGGGGAACCCUGAACGAGCAAAGCCGCGUGAGUGAAGAAGGUUUUCGGAUCGUAAAGCUCCGUUGUUAAGGAAGCGGUACUUAACCAGAAAGGGACGGCUAACUACGUGCCAGCAGCCGCGGUAAUAC